rnacentral:lncRNA from 1 species
UAAUAGCGAUCGAGUUAAUACCCUGUAUCGUAGCAGAAUUCGAGCUAGUGUGUGUUUGGUAGUAAUCAGAGAAUAUCUCAGCGUAUAUUUGGAGUUUUUACGUCGUUUCAGUGUCCAAAAUCGAGUGCUAAUGUCUGCUAUUUAUACACAAAAAUUGGACAUGCUUACGGACCGUAAGACUAUUCCCUUACGGUCCGUAAGGGACACCUAAUUGUCAUAGGGUUGCCACGUGUGGGACUAGGCCGGCUGAGUUGAUGAUUUCUUCAAAUUCGAAUUCGACAACGAGAUUUGAAGAUAAUCGUCCACUAGGGGGUGUUUGGUCUGCUAAUCGGUGAUGUAUGUGCGAGAUUUCACAAGAUCUAAAGACGGCGUGGUGUGUAGUGUUAAAUCCGACGACUACGGUUCCGGUGGUAUAAUUCUCAAGCCGAUCGGUGGCAAUAGAGACGAGUUCCGACAAAUUGAGUUGCAGAUCUAGGUUUCACCAGUUGGCUUAGGCGAUACUGCAUCAUCAAAAUGGAUGGUUUCUGAAUGGAGAUCCCUAAAGUGUUCGGUUUAUAAUGCUUAAUUGCUUGUGAGGUGAUAAUGCAUUGAUAAUGAUACUCUGUGCUAAUGUUAUUUCAAGUUUGGUUUAAGAUAUCAAUUUCUCCUGAGGUUACAUCAAAGACCAAAUGCAGAUAAAUCAUGAAAUUUCUCAGCUUUCUGUAUCGGGCUUCACACCUCGGAAAUUUGUUGUUAGCUUAUGAUGGAAGGAAGAGUGCGUUUGUUGCGGGUCCAUUGCCCUUUUGAGUCUAAAGAUUCGCAAUUAAAAUUACUGAGCAUGAUGGUCUGAAUUGGCAACACCAGCUUUGUAAAAACCCAAAGUCGAACCCGGACAUCAAAACACUGUUUGUUGAUCAUUCUUAUUGGCAGUCGCAGCCAAAUGGUGCACGGGCCCCAUCACCAGUAACUAAUCCAUUAAUGGGCUCUGUACCAAAGCCUGCAGGCUUUCCACCUCUGGGUGCUCACGGUCCUUUCCAGCCUGCACCUGCACCUCUGCCAUCAUCUCUUGCUGGUUGGAUGGCAAACCCAUCUGUGCCUCAUCCGUCAGUUUCUACAGUCCCUAUUGGGUUUACCCCGCCUAAUAAUGCUGGAAAAUCAUACCACGAUAUUGUUGGCAGUGCGUAUUAUGUUGCUUCAUAAGUGUUGAAGCAGAAAUACGGGAAGGUAAUUGACAUACAAAAUGCAUGGUGAUGCUGUAAAUUAUGCUUAGUGUCGUGCCUCCCUCAUGGGCAGAGACAGAGGAAAAGGCAUAUUUGAUGCUAUAUUAGAAGGAUAUAUCAACUUCGAAAGUGACCUGUGGCCAUCUGUUCCAAAAGAUAAGAUAAAGAGAGGCCUGAUGCUGUAAGAACUGAGCCAGUUUUCAGAGACAACAAAAGGGCAUGUGUACUGGAGGUUAAAAGGGUGUUCUGAGAAGCCUGGUAUUCUUGAAGAUAUAGGAACUGGGGAUCAUACAGUUGAAGCAGCUGACAAAUGGUUUGAGUAUGGUGAUGAACAGAUGGAUUUGAUUGAAAAACACAUAAAUGUUAUGAGGAUCCAUGUCGGCCCGGUGUCCGAGAUGCUGUCCAACUGUGCGUAAAGGCCCGUGUUAAGGUAAGAAUGGUGAUGGGUGACAAUCUUCAAACCACCAAGGCAAUUGCGUUAGAAUGCGGUAUACUUAGGUUAGAUGCGGACGCUACCAAGCCAAACCUAAUUGAAGGGAAGUCCUUCCGUGCAAUGUCGGAUGCACAAAGACUCGAAGUAGCUGAGAGGAUAUCAAAUGUGGUAUACAAAUACAGGAAAUGAACCUACGAGUGGAGGCAGAUCUACCAGGCAAUCAACUCGACAAUUAUUACAAAAUUAUAUAUCAUUCUCUCCCAAAAAAGCAUCCGAGAUUCAGCAACUACAGACACAAGUAUAAUUUUCAGAAACAUUUGGAAGAAUACAAUGUUCUAUCAUCUGCUAUAGGUGGCAAUUGAAGCUGCAACUUGCAGAAUUCCUAACUAAGGUGAAUGUUUGGUACUUUGGUUCGUAUCUUGUUGUGUUCAAAAUGUUUUUUGUUACACUUGAUGUGGAUAUUGGAUGUGAAUUAUCUAAGCCUGUGUAUC